AGAAUGGUUUUGCAAAUUUCUGCUGCUAGUAAAGCAGGAUUUAUCAAUGCAAAUCCUGCACUGAGGCAGGAAGAGAUAACAAAGAUAAUCAUCCCAAUGUAAGGCACUAUUAACUGUGAAUUUUUUCCACAGAAUGCUUCAGUGCUUUUUUACAGUAAUGAUGGCAUGGACCUUUGUGCCUGUAUACAUUUUUCAUGCAGCAAACUCCAUUUCUUUUCCUCAUGAUAAAGUGCUUCUGAGUUCAGCAAGUAAACAAUGUUGAUUCAGCAAUACACAGAGGACACCCACACACAUUCAGCUGGCAUCACAUGGUAUUUUCUGAAACACGGCCACCACAAGGAAACGGGCUCUGGCACAGCUCUUCAAGCAACUGCUAGGACAUAUGGAAACCCCAGGAUGUCCUGGGAGGUGAAAUGGGAAGCUUUAUUUAAAGACUCACUGUGUUUUCAUUUUACAAAAGAGUAGUUCAAAUAUCACUUCUUUAUUUGAGAAACAAACUAUUCUAUGUAUUCCUUAUCAAAAGCCCCAAAGGGGAAAAUCAGAAACCUACCCUUAAUUUGUUUUUAAAGUUCUAUUUUAGUCCAUGCAAAUAUGCACUUGGCAAAUGAUUCCACCUAAACCAUCAGGCAGAGAUCUAGGCAAAUGCUUCACGAUCCCAGAGAAAGACAGAAUUAUCCUUGCCCAGGCAAGGAGGGGCAGCACGUGCCUGCCCUGUUGAAGGUCACUGGAGAUGCAGGUGACUUCUGUCAAAACCCACAUUAUCCUUCAGAACAUUGCUGUCAUGAAACAAUCCUGAUGGAUUUCGUCCUUGGGUGCCGUAAAGCUGGGAUGCAGAUUUGCUUCACACCUGCCAAGGAGUGAGCCUUGCUGGAGACACACCUUGGGCCCCAGGCUGACACAGGGCAGCACAAGGUUAUGUUUCUGGGCAGGGCUAGAAAACCCCUGUCAACAGCAGCAUCUAACAAGCUUUCAGCUCAUUAUGAAUGACAAUGCACUGAAUAAAAACAUAGCACAAAAAUGCCAAGAUGGAGAAUGUUAAGAGCUCAGAAGAUAAAAAUUAACUCUAAUACUCAUUGACUACAAACAUGGAAAAACCCCAAACACCAGCAAUGUAGGAAAUGAAUUAUUAACAGUGCUGAAAGUUAAGGGAAUAGAAGAUUCGACUACUUCACUGUUUUAUGGGAAACUCCAAAAAACCCUUUUUAUCUUAUCAGAUACCAUGGCAGUUAAACAUCUUAUUUCUGGCACAUUUCUUCAUGACUUUGUGUUACAGGAAAGGUUACUGAAGGUUGAAAACUCCCUUUGAAUCUUCACAGUGAUUUUGCAGCUUUCAGCUUUCUGAAAAAAUCCCCAGGGCUGAAUUCAUGUCAGAAUGGAAGGAGCAUCUCCCACACCCCAGCACAACUCUUUGCCCUGCCCUAACUGCUCUUGUCCUCUUAUUUUUUUUUCAGAAUUCAUCCAGAACCCUCUCUCUGCAAAAUCACUGUGAAGAUUCAAAGCAGCAGGCCCCAGUAAGCUCAGUCACAAACCUGCUUUUAAAUGCUACUCAUCAAAACAAAGUAAGAAGAAACAACAUGUAUGAUACAGGAGCAGAGCUGACAUUAAAUUAAACAGAUUCUGAGCUUCCCCAGGAGAACUCUGAAGCACUUACAGAGGAAAAAUCAGCCUGCACUACUUCUACACAGGAAGUGAGUGCCUUCUCUGUGGGAAUUGCUAAAUUUUCUUCUUUUGUUUUUUUUCUCUCUCCUCUAGUGUCUGCAUUACACAGGGAUUUAGAGUGGAAAAAGAAAGGUCGCAGUCCUGAAAGAAGCUUUCAGAAAAGGAAGAUUCAGAGAGGCACAGAAAUGUUUGCUCCCUCAGUAAAACUGCGUCAUCACACUUUUCCUAAUCUUAUUAAGAUGAGGACAUGACUGUGGGAUGCCAGACAGUAUUUCCACUCUUAGCAAGAAGCAAAGGACAGUAAUGUGGGUGCCCAGCUCUGUGGAGUCUGUCCAGCAGCACAGAACAAGCUCACAGAAACGCCUGAGGAAAUCAGGUACUUGGCUAAUACGAGCUCUCAUUCAGCACCUAACAAGAUGCAUAAAUACAGAAAGUGACAGCAAAGGAAAUGCCACAAACCUGCUUGAAGGCUUCGUAACACCAGCCGGGUAGCAUUAAAGAUGCACCAGUCUUGGCCUGUGACCUGCCAUUCCAUAUUCACAGGCUACCUUCAGCCCCACUGGUAACACCUACUGACAGAAAGCCACCUACUGGCUUUCAAGAAUUUUGGACUGCUAUUACCAGCUUUUAGAAAGGACUUGAAUGAAAGAAUAGUUUAAAACAUUAAACAGGCAAAAUAUUCAACAUAGAUUUAAUAAGCCAAAGCACUGACUCAAAUUUUAUUCAGGUCAAGAAGAUACUUCCUGCUACAGACCAGGAUGUUGGCUGGCAAAGAAUUUUCCUUAAUUAAUAAUUCAUUUCCUUGCUAUGGACUUCUUGCACCUAGGAAGUAUGUUUCAGCUAGUUUGAGGAAGAUUGCUACAAUAAAAACUAGACAAUUAAUUUGUGAACUAGGACAGAAGAAUGGUCACCUUCCACCACCCAUUCUGGACAGUAUGCAAAUGUAUGCACCCCAUACAUCCAUCACUCCCACAUCAGUUGGCAUAUUUUUCCUUUAAAAGGAAGCCCUCAGCAGAGUGCCAGAGACUAAUUUGGCUCUCUUCUCACAUAUAUGAAUUAAACCCUCAUCCAAAUAAGGACUGGAAGUUGAGCCCUUUUCCCUUGUAAUGUUUUAAAAUGCAGUUCAUGGUGCAACUGAAAGAUGCCUAGGUACACACAGAUGGUGCAGAACAAUUUGCCACGAGCAACAUUCUUUCCGAACACAAGGUGAUGCACCAGGACAAGCCAAGAAAGAAUGGGGCUUAAUUAAAUUUCAAUAAAUUAACAUAAAAUCUGGACACUGCACUCUGUAACAGCUCUGUCUCAAACGCUGCCUGAUCAAAUCCCUUGGACUGUGGUGUAACAGUCCCUCCCCUUCCAUGCCACCUGGACUCCAGGUAUUUCAACAGCACUGGUAGCCUGCUGUACCCUGGGGAGGAGACAGAUACCCAAAGGCUGCAGCAAGAGCAGCUCCUCUCACCAGAAGUCCUUUAACCCAGUCACACCCCUCCUGCCACUUGAGGGGAAACAGAGGGUGCAUAGUUCUCAAUAAGCUGGGGGAAAAAACUGUAUUAUCACAGCAGCUUCACUUUUGUACUGACUAGAAAAUACAUAUAUAGGCUGGGGGGGGAAUGAAGACUUGUGAUAACUGCAUACAAGACACAAAUAUUAUCUGCAUGGUACAAGAUCAGAAUUUGAAAAGAUCAGAAACUUGCAUUCAAGUUAAAACUCACUAUUAUUAAUCCAAUUUCCAUUCUCAUCCCCUUUAACUCCGUGUAAAACAGAGCUCAGUUUUCUUCAGCGUGUAGAAGGAAUACUGAUGAUUUUAUAUCCAUUUGGAAAUAUUCCCAGAAUCAACCAAGUCAUUGGCAGGAGUUAGGGGAAGUUACAAGUCCACCUGCCUGUUUAAGCUUGAAACAACUCUUAAGCCACAUGCUGCUUGACCCAUCUAUUCUCAAAAUCCUGGUCCCAACCUCCCAACAGCUCCUCACUCUCCACAUUUUCAGUGCUCUCUUUGGUGAUCGCAAAUCACUGUUUGGUAACCAUCAUAUAAACCAGUAGAUAAGCACUGUAAAAAAGAAGUGACUGACCAGCACACACAUAUUUUUUAAAAAUCUUCUAAUUUUUUCCCCUCUGGUGUUAAGCAGGCACACGGUAAAACAAACAAAACACUGAUCUGAAAAUGGAUUUUCUGUCUAGAUGGCUUUAAAGAAGACUGAAAGAUGAAAAAGCCUGAACCCUUGGCACAGGGAAAGACUGUUCAAAGUGAACACCCCUAGAGAAUGAAACACCAGAGCGAAAGGAGGAAUGGACAAGCAGAUAAAGCUGUCAGCUCUGGCAGAGGGGAGAGGCUAAGAAGUUCCCAAACCCUAGACUAAAGCCCAGGAUGGAAAGAAUCAGUCAAAGCCAGGCUGUUUUGAACUUACAUGCACCCUAGAAAAGGUCUGACAAAGAUACUUUAACUAAAAUAAAACCUGAAGGCUUGAAUUUA